CAGUCGGUAGUUAGGACCUGCCAUCCACUUUGUAUGUGUGCUGGAGGUUUUACUUCUGGCUAACGCCAGUCUUGUCCUGUGGACUGACACCCGCUGGUGACUGGAGUUCACGUCUGCUUUAGUUUCAGACCGGGGAAAUCUGUUUGCGUGCUCUCAGACUGCCUCGUCAUCUGAACCACAUCUCAGUGACCACGACCACUCGGGAGAUUUUCCUUUAAGAGUUUGUUUGUGAUGUGACUAAAAUGCAAAUGUAUCUUCACCCGGCACUCAGGAGCUCCGAGCCGUGUUGUGUAACACAGCCGUGUGUGCUGUAAGGGUGUCUAAUUAUAGCAUCAGAUUCUGAUCGUGGAGAGCUCGAUUUUUAUCACUUAAAAGGGGGUGUGGGUGAUGCUUCGGGGGCAGUAAUACUGAAAUAACAUAAUGAGCUGAGGCAGCGGAGCAAGUGCCGGAGCAGGAGGGGUGCCUCCCUCGCAGGCUGUCUGUAGCCUUGCACCCGUGUGGCCGCGGUUCCUGCUCGCCCCGGGCAUCGCCGGCUGCGCAGGAAAUGGAGCCGAGCUGCACAAAGGGAAGCGACGGCUGGUAUGUCCGAAAUAUGGAUUCAAUAAUAUCCGAAGUCAAGUUGUACCUCAGCCCGUUGCAGCCGUCUGUCUGAGGCCGUACAUCAGCCUAAGGAAAAGCACACAGGGGAAAGAACAGUCAUGUCUGGAUGCUUUCUCUGACUGCAGAAGGAAAAGAACUGGCAUCUUGCAAGCAAGGUCUGCUGCAGCUGGCCCAGCUCCCACGGAAGGACAGCGGUAGGAAAGCAGAGGCAGGGUCGGUAACAUCUGGAUCCCAGUUUCCAGUGGUGAGCUAAGUGCAAUUAGCCACUACUGCUCCCCAAGUCAACCACCAAUGCCUCCAAGGUACUACUACACCCUCAUGACUCAUAAGAAAAACCUAAUUCCUGCUUCCAUCCUCAUAACCAGAGGGAGCAGAGCCUGGGACAGCUAUGCUUAUGGACUGUUGCUAUACUGACUUUAGUGAAGCACUGCAAAUGGCACUAACCUAACUUUUAAUAUCAGCCCUUUCUCCAGUGCAAGUGGGAGACAGGAACCAGAUAUCAAUACUAAAUCAUCAUCUCUAUUACAAAUUUACAAAUACAUCUCAGCCUUUUUUUAUUUCAGAUGACAAAAAGCAUUUUUCACCUAAGUUAAAAAUACUUCAAUGCCUAUACAGGUACAUAUUUAAAAUACAAGCUGCUUAAGUGUAAGUUAAUAGCUAAAUAAAACCUUCACAAAGUUGAUUAUUAUAGGUGAACAGGGCUUUUAAACUUCUUAUCACAUUUGUAUUUAAGAAAAAAGCAUCUUAGUUCUGAUUCAUCAUACACUUUUGAUCAUGCUGCAGUACUUGUAUGUGACUUUAAACAGCAAUAAUCACUAAACCAUUACCAAGUGACGCAUACAACUUACUUUUUAUUCCUUCUUUGGCAUUACAGCACAUGAAAUAUGAGCACUAAUUGCAGCCAGAAAGGCAGCAUGCUAUAGACAUUUACUGUUUAGUUUUGACUUGCAAGUACUCUGCUGUUGCAACAGCAAAUGCUUAUUCGGAAUGUUACCAGCUAGGCCAAACUACAGAAGCUGACACUUCUGAAGCUAUGGUCUGUUGGAUGAAAAUAAAACAGAGUUCAUUUUAUAUGAAAAUUGAAACAGCUUUAAAUACUGAGUUAAACAGAUGACACGCCAGAUAGUUUCUGUGUUAGACUGAAAAUCCUAUAUGCGUCCUCAAUCCUCCUCCCACCCUUCCCUCUACAAGCAUAUGGCACAGGUUAUUUUUCUGUUCAAUUUGUUGUAGAAGUUUAUCAAAGUUAAUAGUAAAUGCAGUGUAAGUUAAUAUCUGAAGGCUACAGAAGUUCUGUGGUAGCAUCCUUAAGCGGGUGAUACUUCACCACAGUCCUGAUCUCUGCUGCUACAGAGUAGCCUGGCCAGAGCACCACACCUUUGCAAUCUUUCUCACUUAGCUAUACCCAGCGUUACAUGGCACGUGAGCUUUGUGCUAUAUUUACAGAUCCAGGGCAAUACUGCUGACUGCAGCAGGAGCAGUGUGCACUCACAUUUGAUGUCUGCAUACAUGUGGCUGACAGUGAAGCGGUCCUUGCCCUCGGGUGCCCACGCAAUGCGUUCAGCCAUCAGGUACAGAGCUCCAUCCUGCUUCUUCUGACGCACCUUCUUCACUAUCAGCAACACUUCUUCAGAUGACGUUGCCAUUGUGGCUACAAUGAGCUAUUAAAAACAUACAGCUGAGCUGAUUAGCUGUAAUUAUUUUUGCUGUAACUCUUUCACUACUCCUAUCUAUAUUAAAGUAUUACAGCCCACUUUUACUUGUUCAAGCCUAUAUGAUUUUGGGAGUAUUUCAGAUAAACACACCCCCCUCUUUCAGUACAAUCAGCAAAUUCAUUUAAACAAAAUACUCCCAGUUACCUAAAUAAUUAAUUUAAUUAUAUUGCUGAUACUGCUUUUGCUCCAGUAAAGACCCACAAAUCUUACAUUUAAACUGAUAACUAAAUUUUCCUGUUUUACUGUUCCUUUACUGGUUUUUCAAGUUCAGAAGAAUACUGAAGCUAAGCAAUGACAAAUUCCAAAUCUCCUCUGGCUUUGGCAGCAAUUCCCUUCUUCAGUGGGAAUGGCAGAUGCUAAGUCAUUUCAGAAAAGGGUACAAGGUAUGUGAAAAAUCAUGGAUUUUCAGUUCGCUGUGCUAAAGAUAAGGUGGCCCAGUAAGACUGGGCUGUUCUUAUUGUGGUGGGUUUUGCCCAAGGCUUGAACAAUGUUUUGUACAUUUGACUGCAGCUGGCCAGUCCCUCUCCUCCGAAGUCUGAGGAACUAAUGUUACACGUACUACAGCACAAUGAUAAUUCUGUCAGCAGUCUCAAAGCAACAAGCCUUUGGAUACUUGCUGCAUUGUUCUCCCCAGCAGUCACUAUCAUUCCUCUCUCCAGCUUCACCCUACAGCCCUAAAUUUUUCAAGAGAUAAAGGAUAUGGCAAGUAUUACUACACUCUGUCAAACGUACUGUUGUACACUUAUCAAAAAUGUACAUCUUUGGUUAGUUUGCUGAAAAUGUUUAGUAUGUCCAAUUGCUGUAUUUUGUGUAUCAUAAACUUUACUACUGA